UACGAAGGGUGCAAGCGUUACUCGGAAUUACUGGGCGUAAAGCGUGCGUAGGUGGUUUGUUAAGUCUGUUGCGAAAGCCCCGGGCUCAACCUGGGAAUGGCAAUGGAUACUGGCAGGCUAGAGUGCGGUAGAGGGUAGUGGAAUUCCCGGUGUAGAGGUGAAAUUCGUAGAUAUUGGGAAGAACACCGGUGGCGAAGGCGGCUCACUGGACCGAUACUGACGCUGAGGCGCGAAAGCGUGGGGAGCAAACAGG
rnacentral:rRNA from 1 species